GUUGUAUAGUCAAGUAAUUAAGUGCAUGUGGUGGAUGCCUUGGCAGUCAGAGGCGAUGAAAGACGUGAUAGCCUGCGAAAAGCUCCGGGGAGGCGGCAAAUAUCCUUUGAUCCGGAGAUGUCUGAAUGGGGGAACCCACCUACUUUAAGGUAGGUAUUGCAACAUGAAUACAUAGUGUUGCAAGGCGAACGAGGGGAAGUGAAACAUCUCAGUACCCUUAGGAAAAGAAAUCAAUUGAGAUUCCCUCAGUAGCGGCGAG
rnacentral:rRNA from 1 species